UACAGAGGUCCCAAGCGUUGUUCGGAAUUACUGGGCGUAAAGGGUGCGUAGGCGGCGCGGUAAGUCGGGUGUGAAAUCUUGGAGCUUAACUCCGAAACUGCAUUCGAUACUGCCGUGCUUGAGGACUGGAGAGGAGACUGGAAUUUACGGUGUAGCGGUGAAAUGCGUAGAUAUCGUAAGGAAGACCAGUGGCGAAGGCGGGUCUCUGGACAGUUCCUGACGCUGAGGCACGAAGGCCAGGGGAGCAAACGGG
rnacentral:rRNA from 1 species